UGAGAUAAAGAUGGUUUAAUAAGAAAGAAAAGGAAAGAAAAAAAAUACAAAAACAAGUGAUGCACAGUGCAAUUGCCCACCACCGGCCAACCGAUGCCCAGCCAGUCCCUGAGCAAUGCUAGCCACCCCCAAACAGCCAACUCCCCCAGCGUCAUUGCUGAGCAUGGUACCAUAUGGUACAGGACAUCCCUUUGGACAUUCUGGGUCAGCUGUCCUGGUGCUGUCCUCUCCCACCUCCUCACUAGCUGGGCAAGUCCUUGCCCAAGUCCUUGGCUCUGUGCAGGCAUACCCAACAACAACUAAACAUCCCUGUGCUAUCUCCAUUUUUCUCAUUGUAAGUCCAAUACUCAGCACUACACCAGCUACACUGAUGAAAAUUAACUAUCCCAGUUCAAGCCAGAACACUCUGAGAGCUACAUUUAUGGCUGGUAACUAGUUUUACACUUGGCCAAGACAAGCUUCACAUUCCAGUUUAGCUUAUCUGUAGGGAAACGUGCCCACAAGUCCAGGCAGAAAGAUUGUGGCCUAGACACAAUACUCCUCACAUAUUGCAAGAGAUUUCUUUUGUGGGAUGAAGUUCUCAGUGCUUAAUGGUGAGGAUCACAUGGAUCUGUGCUGAACAGAUGGAAGAGAUAUUGCAUAAGGCCCAGUUCUUGUGUUCGUUGAUUACUGCCUGUUAGCCUUUAUCUCAGACUCUUGGAAACACCAGCUUUCUAUCAAAAGGAAAUGUCACCACUUUAGCUAAUAGACUUUUUUUUUUUCCCUUUCCCUUGCAAGAGACUCUAAUUGACUUUUUUCCAGUUGAAUACAGCUUUAAAAAUGAAUAUUUAAUGUCAGGCAUUAAAGUUCCAACAUGGCUUGCAAUGAAAUCUUGACUCACACAGAUGCUUGUCAAGAGAAAGAAAAGGCAGACCGUGCUUCCCUCCCCUCCAAGACACAGAAAAGGAUUUGUCUUGGUGCAGCUCUGCAAUACAGGUGAUUUCAUAUCUGAAAAGAGAUUUACCCUUCCAGCCACUCCUGCAAGGCUCUGAGCUAUGGGGCAGCUCCAUCCAGCAGCCGUUGCCGCCAGCAGCCACACACUUCAUUUGGAGAAGUGCUGAAGCUGGCAGGCCUGGGGCUCACUCCCGUCCAGAAGUCAAGGAGACGUGCCAGUUGCCAGCAAUUAAUAUUUUGCAUUUUUCCCAGCUGAAUAAUUCCCCAGCUUUGUAGAUCAAGCAAGAGAAAUACUAAAAUUGCUUUGCAGUACUAAAUGCCUGGAAGCAAGUGGAGGACUUAUAACAAAUCUGUCGAACAACUUGUUUAAUUUUGAGUGUCUGCACAAACCCCUCGACUGCAGGCUUAAAGUGAAAGCAUAUGCCUUGUGCAGUAGCAACUCAAAUAUGUGCAGAAUCAGGGCCAUUUUGAGGCACUGAUCAUAUUACAUUGCCAUCUAUAUCAGAGGUUCCUGCCAUUCCAUGGCAGCCUGAGAGCUGAUGUCAGACUUCCUCAAGAGAGAAGCAUUAAUUUCGUGAAGUGCCAUGGAUAACACGGCCCUUCCUGAAACCAAUGAGUCAGUCUGUACUGCAAAGUGUGGAGAUUUCCAUCUAUCUUGAAUACGGUGAACACUGCUUUUGUCCAGAGGAAUAGCUUACCCUUCCUGGUAACCAACUAAACAAUUAGCUGUCUGUGCAAAUCAUACAAGGAACAUUUGAAUACAGCUAAUUGCUAAAAAUAGCCCAACUUUCAGCAGUAGAAGAGCUGACAGUUCUUCCAAGUCACGUUAAAAAUACUGCUUUAGCAUGGCUUCAGUGGGAGCUGCAUCCUGUGAGCCCUGAGAGCAGAGUGGGACUGCGUCAUCCCUGGGUGGGAUUCCUCUAACAUCUGGUAUGACUUGUUGGUCCCACGGCUCAGCAGGAGGGAAGAUUUGAGCUCUGAAAAUAUGCCUGCAACAACAAUCGAGUACUUUGUGCCUGCGUUUUUAAGUCUCUUCACAGCUUUGCAUUUUUUUUUUCCAAGCCUAGUUCAUGGAUAUAUCUCUGAUUAUUAGGUCAAACCUUCUGGUUUCUUUGGAGUGCAAGCCUGGAUAUCUGAAGUCAUGGGAAUGACAUGCUGAUGGCUGUUGGCAUCGGCUGAUGAAGAACAAGUCACAAGUGGUGAAUUCCAGCUAGCAAUCCCUCUGGGCUGGGGACUUCAGCGAUGAUGAAAAAUGAAAGCAACGUACUGACAUCACCCAUUUCAGCAUGUGAGCUUGGUGAAUUUUUGUUAUACCACCAGAAUUUGGUUACAACGGGAAAGGCAGCUGUGAAUGUCUUUGUACAUUAGAGGCUAGACUGCUAGAAGUCAUCCCUGGAGGUGUUCAAGACCAGGCUGGAUGAGGCGCUGAGCAGUCUGAUCUAGUGCCUGGUUUAGUGGUUGGAAACCCUGUCCACAGCAGGGCACUGGAACUGGAUGAUAUUUGAGGCUCCUUCCAACCCCAGCCAUUCUAUGAUUCUACAGUAAGUUUUAAACAGAUUUUCAGAUUUUUUUCCUCUAUUCCUGAUCUAGAAGUCAAAAGAUGACUACAUUUUUGGGUAUAAGCAUUUGAAAUGUCAGGAGGAUGUGAUUAUCACCUAAUGUUAGGAGGAAGCUUCUGAGAACAGCUGGGGUCUGCUACUCUGGAUAGAGGAACUCAUGCAAAAAGCGUGAGUGCUGUGCCUUAAAAUCCAAACCCACGAUGUGACUGUGCUUCAGUGUUGAAUCUUGCUCCUGAAGUUACUCUUAAAUCAAACAUUCUAUGUUAGCUCAGAUGUACUUUGAAUCUGGAAAGUAUGCCUAGCUCACAGAUUAUUAAGGACAGUGCAACUUGAAUAGGACCGAAGGUGGAAGGGAUGUGCCCACACAAAAUAUCCACUGCACAAGAGUGCUGACACAUUGAUAGCCCUAAAGGAGCAACACUACAGUCACUGUGUGAUGGCUGAAUAGCCUUUUGCUAACCUACUGCUACAUCUCAACGUUUUGAUUCCUCUCCAUAUCAAACACCGUGCAUCUGAAAAUUGGAUACCAUUGCCAUUCAACACAUCUAACUAGAGAGCAAAGCUUAAGGGGAAAGAAAGAACAAACUUACAUCAACCAAGAAAGAAAUUCCUCAUUUACCAUCCAGUGCAAGUGCUGAGCACUCUGUUGUAUUGUGGGAUGAAAAAUAAAUCUGAAGAGACGCUGCCUCAUAGGUAAAGAUCAGAUCCAAAGUUCUGUAAAGGAGGGAGGGAAGGAGAAAGGCUUCCGUCUAUGAACCUAACACAAGAAAUAAACCAGACUCACUAAAGCACAUGCUGGAUGUGAUGAUGUGACAUUUGCUGAAAUUGUGUGCCAGAGGUUUGGAGGAAAGGAUGCACUCAGGAUGCUGUGGCUGUGGGCAGUUGGCACACAGCUGUUCCUGCUGCCCUCUGGAAGGAACACGAGCAGUGCGUGCGUUGCAAGUACAAAUGGGAGUAAGAAUAGCUCCAACACAGCAGGGAGCGGUGCUGGAGAAGAGAGGAAUUUCUGCUUAAAAGCAGGCUGAAUUCGUAGAGUCUUAGUGUUUCUGACAGCUAACCUCAAUAAAGUAGAUGAAUAACAUAUAUGUCAGAGUAAGAAACCCUAACGAUUCAAGAAGGGAGUUAGAAAACUAAGAGGUGAGCUUGUUGAGCAGCAGCCAAAGAGAGUAAUGACUGGUUGGAUGGAUACUGGGAAAAAUUUCUUCUCAGAAAGAGUGGUUGUACAUUGGCACAGGCUGCCCAGGGAGGUGGUGGAGGCACUGUCCCUGGAGGGGUUCAAGGAAAGGAUAGAUACAGCACUGAGGGACGUGGUAUAAAGCAGUCACAGGUGUGGACCGAUGGUCAGACUAGGUGAUCUUUUUGGUCUUUCCAGCCUUCGUGGUUCUAUGAGGCCUUGGCGCAGUGGCACAGAGGACUCAAGUGUGUCCCAGCCACAUCUCCUUUCUCAUGAUCAAGGUAAGCCUGGCCUAGCAGCAGCAUCUAAUCAUUUAAAAAUGAAAUGUUUCAAUUCCUGGUAGUCCAAUGUACUCUUAGCCAAUAAAGUCUCUCAAGUUAUUUGAAAUUCAGUGGUGCUACACUAAGCUGAACAACAAGCAAGAAUUAAUUCUCCCUUCCCAGCCCUGACUUGUUGCACAGUUACUGCACACUCCCUUUCUCCAUCCCCACCACACUUUGCGUGCUCCAGUUCAAUAUAGUCUCUCCUUACCCUGUCAGGUCCCAGCCCUGGGGCUGUGAUUUAAUGCUCCCACUGCUGCUACAUAAAUACAAGGCUUUUGCUGUAUGUGUUUGAGCUGAUCUGCCCCUCAGCUGCCUUGAGGCAAGAUUAGAGGAACAUCUACAGUGUUUGGAGGCUGCCUCUCACUGUGCUCCUAGAAAUGCUGCCUGGGGGUCAGGGCUUUUAUUUUGCUUGCUGAACAGCACAUUACGCCCUUGCACAGGAUUUUCAUUCGUUAGCUGAAAGGAAUUUGAUCAUUAGAUAAGAUUCCAUUAGUAAAUUAAUAUACUCUGUCAAGGAAUCUUGAACACAAACUUCAUCUCGGUAGGCAAAGCAAAAAUCAGGAGGAUCUCUUAGUGCAAAGAGGCCAUGAGCCCACUGUGCAGCAGCAGCAGGGGUCAGGACAACCCAGCUCAGCCUCCUGCUCCAGGUUCUGAUGGAGUUUCCUGCUGGUGACAGAUCAGUGGCAUGUGUGCCACAUAAGAUGAUAAUAUUAUAUAACCAUGAAGUGGUAGGAUUAUGGGUGUGGGGGAGAAAGAUCUCCUGGGGAGAGGGGACAUUUUGCAUCAAUCACUCCCUCCCCCAGAGCCACCCACCAACUGCGGGGAUUUUUCUGAGCACUCAAGAUGAUACAGUUUGGUACAUUUUAAUCAGUGUCUUACCCCAUCGAAUUAUGGGUGGAAACAGUGCUAAAGGAAAAGCAGAUACACAGCAAGUAGGGGCUGUGUAACAGAGCAACAGCGAUAUGCACCACAGACACCAUGAGAGAGGUUGCAGCUGCCACCUCAUGCCUUGUUUCACCCCACUGGACAAGCACUGCAUCAAGUACUAGAGCUGCAAUUAAAAAGUGGCAGAAAUCUGAAUGCUAAGAGAGCAGAGGAGCCCAGGAAAGGCCUGUGGCAAUGGGAGAUGCACAUCUUACUGACAGAUGUGAGGAAAACUAGAUCAUACUUAAGAAGGAAGAAAGUUCAUUAGAAGUGGGCUUGAGUGGGGACCUUGGGACUGCUGACAUCAUGCUGGCCAUGGCCAAGGCAGGCACAUCUCUGCUUAUGUUGGGGCUGUGCAUGAAAGCCUCAUCCCUGGGGGGGACAGCAUUGAUAACACUAAAGGCGGCAAACAAACACAGAAAUGAGAGAGGGAAGUCUGUGGUCUGUGCUUAUGUUGUAAUAAUCCCUUCUGGGCUAUAAAUCUAUCAUCUCCAAUUUUAACAAACCAUCUGAAUCUGACAGUCAUAAAACACAUCAUCUACUUUAGCUAUUUAUCCACAAAAAUGUCUUUUAUUUGUCUUGGCCACCAGAUAACCAUAGGAACACAAGAAAUAUCCUGCUGGGCAUCCAGACCCUCCACCUAUCUCAGCACACCUGUGCUCAAUCAAUUUCUGCAGCCCAUUCCCUGCUUAGUCCCUCAGAAUACACAAUUGUUGGGUCAGGUAAUAAACCUGCAGAAGCUCACUCAUGCCACAUAGAGAGAUACACCUUGCAUCUCUAAGAAAUCCAUUCCCUACAAGCUUCGUUCAGCAUCCCUUAGCUCUACCUCAGAGGGAUUUGGGGAGUAACAGCUCUGUGUUCACAGGGAUGCACUGUGGCAAGGACCACUGGGGAAAGUUGUUUUGGAGAGCAUAUGCUUAAGGGAAGGUUCUCCAUGAAAAUUCCUCCCAUAUAACUUAGACAUUCAACUGAGGUAUUUACAGCGAAGACUAAUAUCCCUAGGCUCCUUGUCUUGUCAGUGGAGAGGCUCAGCCUACCCUUGAGAGCAGUUUGAGUCCCAUGAGCACACCUCAUAACACUGCUCUCUCCUCUGAGCUGUCAUGAUGUGCUUGGUUCAUGACCACCCUCUGUGCGCAGUGGGGUGGGCGAGAAAGGAGAGACCUCUCAUGAACUAUUGAUUUUUCUGCUAGUCUUUCCUCCAGCACGGCUAAGAAAGAAGCCAUGGAGGGCUCAGAUCUCUGCUACACUGAUGAAUCCCAUCGAUUUACUCCUGCCUCGUUGUUACUGGGAGUCAAGCAAGGCAGAAAGUUUCACUCACAUGAACCAAUCUUGGGUACCAUCUAACUAUACAAAAGUACUCAUAAAAAAGUUUGUUACUUUAUGAAUUGUAUUUUUUCUCCCCCACAAAGGAAGUGCUUGUUCCUGUGAAAAUCAUUGUCAUACCUAUUCUGUGCAGUGAUAGCAUCUGCAGCUGUAAGGAUUGAAGGCAUGGGAUGAAGGUGAAUUUAGUAUAAUUCACCCAGUGAUGCUGACUGGGUCACCCUAGUAUCUCCUGAUAUAGCUGCUCUUCCUGCAGAACCACAGCAAGCACUAACCCACUCCUGCCUGUUCCUCUCCCCUUUUCCAGCCACCGCAGUACAGGAAAGUUCAGCAUACCUUUCAGCAGCACAGUGCUUCCGUGUUCACCUCCCCCAAAACCUCAUCUGCUCCUCCACCCUGCAAGGAACUAAGCUGUUAUUAGUGGGUGUUGAGAAUCUGCCGAGAAAAUCCCCUGGCCCAAAUGUUGCCUGCCCUACUAUUGAGUAACUCCAGAAAGCCUCCAGAGAAACCUGCACAGAAAGGCAGUUUGAUAAUGUAGCCAAUAUCAAGUCUGCAAGAUCUUGCAGCCUCCGUACAGAUGCCAACAAAUGGGUAAAGACAGAGCAUGUUGCAAGCAAGACAUCUGAAGAAAUAACCUGACAUGCUUUGUUCCAUGUUGCAAGCCCUUUUGUGUUUGGGCUGGUGGAAAAAUGACCAGAGAAAUAAGUAAUUUGGAAAAGGAUUCUUAAGGGUCAAACAAAACCAGGGUGACCAGGAACAGUCUAAAUAAUAAUAAUGAGCCUUAAAUGAAAUUCUGAUUAGAAGUGGCUGCAAGUUGACAUGAAGCCUAAUGUGUGGGGGCUCUCAAGUGGCCAUGGCUCACCACCACUCCUCUAAUAAUCAAUCAUUUCUCGAUAGGAGGCCAAGGAUACGCCAUGAGUUGCUACCUCUUCUGUUCCAAACAACCCACUGGAUGGGUAGCAAGCCCUGGAGUACUUUCAAUUGCAUUGCUGCCAUCUGUGCUUAUUUCCAGCAGAAGGCCUGUCUUACCUACCUUGUCUGCACUUGGCUUUUCUCUUUGCCCUCCCAGGCUAUUGGGAGCCUAGGCACAAACAAGCCUACAGGGCUAUGGAGUUGUUAAUACGAAGCUGUUUUGCUCCUUGCAAAAACCAUCACCCCGGAAAGCAGCUGCUGGAUGCUCUGCUAGUAGGAUAGUUCUGGUUCAACCCAACAGCAGCUCAGCACCACAUAUCCCCCCUCUCCCAAUUCCCACUUGGGAUGAGAGUGAGAAUUGGGGUGGAGGGGGGGAGAGGGGAAGUAAAACAGAAUUUGUGGGUUGAGGAAAAAGCUAUUUUCUAAGACAGAAAAAGAAGAGGGAAAAGAAUGAAAAAUAAUAACAAUAAUAGCUAUAUAUAUAUAUAUAUUCACACACACUUUCACAAUGUACUUUCUCACCACCUGUCAUCUGAGUGGUGCCCUGCUCCCAACACAAUGGCUCACCACCCACCCACCAACACACAGCCAGCCCCUGAGCACUGGCUGGCCCCAGCCAACUCCCCACAGUUUCCUGAUCUUUCACCAGAAAGGCAAUAAAUAGCUCUUCCUCACCAAAUCACCCAGUCCUAGUGUGCUCCCAUCACUCAGCAGCAAUCAAACCAUCAGUGUACAAUUAACAUUCCUUUUUCUGCCAAGCUACGCUCUCCACAGGAGGAGGAAAGAUCUCUUCUGUGAAUACCCCGAAUUUGUACCUGAAGCCCUCCUGGCAGGCUCCAAUAGGGAUAAAGUUCAGGUACCUAGGGGAAGGCAACAGGAAAACAGCAUCCCUCCAGCUCACUGUUCUAAUGGCAAGUAUUCCUAAAAUAAGCAACUGUUCUGGGGUAGGCAGUAAGAAAGAAGGAGACAACACAGCAGGAGACUGUCUGCUCCGAUAGGGCAGCCUCUCAGAAGCUUUGCCAAGGUUUCCCUUCAUUAGCUAAUAAGGAUAGUAGAAGCAUACAAGAGCUCCAAACUUCACCAGCUAGAAUGGAAAGACCUGGACUAGUAAGUCCUUUAACUCCCCCUAGUCAGCAGGCAUAAGGAUAAGUAGUAGCAGAGAUAGUUGCUUUAAAUCCAAGAAAGGUAGCAAUCAAAAUCUGAUAUAGAAAAGGAAUCACCUACCCCUUUCUGAGGACCAAGGCUAGCUGAACAUUCCAAAGAAGAUAAUCUCCAAGUAAAGAUCCUUCCCUCACGGCUGCCAGCCCUUACAUGAGGUGAGGUUCUGGUUGCACAGGUAAAUUGCUCACAGCUGUGCUCCCAGGGCAGGCUACGCCCCUUCACCAGGAGCUCAAUCACUGGUUCAGGCUGUGACCUAACAGUUUCUAUAUAGCAGAUCAGCAGACAGUGACAAAACUUCCUUCCUCACAGUGUGCCUCUGCACCCUGCCUGGCCACCCUUUUUUCCUGGGAGGAGCGCUGCUGCUGCUGAAGUGCUUCACUGCCCUGGGUUAGUGUGAAAGGGUCUCACGCAAACAGGACCAAUGGAACCCCCUUCCCUGGAGACACCCAAGCCAAGAGCUACUAGGCAGGCUCAUCCCAUCUGUGAAAACACAGCCUGGAAAUGUUUCCCAGAGGACAAACCCAAAUUGGAAUAGAUACAAAAUGGUAAAGAUGCCCAAGCUGAUGUUAAAAGAGGAGACUGAAAGAAACUGACUUAUUUAGCUUGAUGAACUGAAGAACGGAGGAGACACAAAUGCUCUCCUGGGCAGUGACGUUGUGUUCAAUCUGAGCCCCAGGGGAUGGGGUGAACAAGAGAGAAAACACAGGGCCAGAACCAACUUUCAUAGAGUCUGAGGCUGAUGAGUGACGUGACUAGAAGAGACUGACAACUGUUCCUUUAAGGGUUUCUGGAAAUAAGGAUUUUAUAUGUCAUUUUAAUAACGUCGUAAUCAAGGUUGGCACACUUGAAUCUACAACAAGGGAAAAGAAAAGGCCUUUCCAAGGGUUUGGUUUCUCUGCCCUCUAUCCUUGUGAUCACUGGGAGAAUCAGUGUUUGUGGUUUGUCACGGCUUCUCAUGACAGCUUCCUUGGCAGCGAGCUUGGAAAGAGUUCCUGGCUCUGCUCAUGCGGAGAUGGCCUCUGCACAGAGCAAAAAGAUACCUCCUGCAUCUGAUGGAUCACCUGGAGACAGCAGUAACAGCAUUCUGCUAAUUGUUAAACCUGCCAUGUCAGCACCACCUGGCUUUCCCAGGCAGAAGGCAGCCACGGAGCUCUGCUCCCUGUACCCUCUGCAAAAAAGUGAGCACAGAGAUCAGUUUUGUGUGGUGGGUCCCUAAGGACGGACAACACAGCAGGAGGGAGUGGAAAUCACCAACUUCUAACUGGUUUCUACUCUUGAGCACGAGAGAAUGGAAAACGCCAGUCUGCCCCGCGUGAUUAAUUCUGCAACCUAACUAGCAAUUGCUUCAUACUAAAUGGGAACAAGUUUUCUUUAAUUAACAUUAAUUUCCAUUAGGAUGCCACCACAGAGAGCUCAUUCCAGAUCCCUUGUCUCUGUGGAGGGGACCAGGCAUCACAUUUCUGCUGUUCUGUGGGACUGAGGAGGGCUUGCGCUUUGCAAAGGGCUGAUGCACCCCUCCUCGAGGAGGCUGGCACAGGGGCUAAGGGCUGCACCAAUUGUUUCUGCACUGAACUUUAGGUGCCCAGCUGUUCCAAGUCUUUCUGACAACUUGGCAGCACCCACUAAAACCUUCCCAGGCUGCUGGGCUUAGAGUAUCACAGAGCUGCCAGGCCCUUCUCUUUGGAUCCGAUUCAGUGCUUUGAGUGCCCUCACACACUGCCAUGCAGAUGUGGAGGAAUACAGCUGUGUCAGGUGAAAUUUAGCAGGCACACUCCCAAUGAAUUCAAUGGGAAUGGAUCCGGGCCAUUGCAUUUCUCAGCCAAUGAUUUUGCAAAAGGGCAUGAAGUUCGGACUGCAAAAAAAAGAAAUGCUAAAACAGCAUUUGAACACUCAAUGGAAAUAUUUCCUUUUGAAUUAUCACAAAGCAAGAGCAAGAAGAAAUAUCACAAAAUGAAGGAAGAGUGAAGAUGAAAUCUCCAACUUGAAAAAAACUUCCACAAAGCAGCUUGAAUAUUUCUAAGGCAAAUCCAAACCUCUGGGUCAACUUACAGUUCAGAAAAUGAAGUAGGAAGGUAUCUGAUUGUGCUGCAAGUAUAAAUUCCCCUGAGAUGCACAGAAAACAACUGACACAUCUUCAUUUGCAGGGGUCUGUUGUUUGCCUGCUUCUAAGGAGGUAAUUGUUCACUCUCUGAUUUUCCUAACAUCCCCGUUGGAGGUUUAGGUGCCUCAUCAUCCAGAAUGCUGGGGAGGCAGAAGUGGCAAACUCGUCUUUGCUUUGGGGUUCUGUCAGCAUUCUGGCUCAUGAGGAUGAGUAUCUUCAGGGCAGUAAAUUAACCCAAGAUACUCUCUGGCUUUCUGUUUAGCCAAAGUAUGUUCAGUAAACUGGCACCAGAGUGGAGAGGCACUGGAUUCAAUACAGAAGGAAAUGAGUAUGAGUAAGUGUGAAAAAGCUUUUGUAUUUUUUGCAAAAUAAUGAAAAUCCCGGUACAAUAAAUAAGUAUAAUCAAAUUUUCCUCCAGCAGUCUGUUGCUAUGAUUGCUUUUCUGCCAAUAAGCACUACAGACUACAUUCCAGUGUAAUGCAGAGAAAAAUAAAGGUCUUUUGAAUGCUUUGUGUUAAUAAGGGACAUGAGAGAAUGGGAAGCCAUGCUGUUUGUCACCAGCUACCUUAAUCUCUGUGCUCUUACGGCCUUGAAUUCCCUGACCCUUACACCUUAGCUGCAAGGACAGGCAGUGCUGCAGUCUUCAUUCCAUGGGAGAGAAGCACAGCAGGGAGACAGGGAGCUCUGCCGUGCAGCACCUGAGCAGUGUGCUCCAUUCCUUUGCAAGGAGCUCCUGCCCCUUUGGCAGCAGUGGCCUGCAGGACAAGACCAGCAGCUGGUGAGAGAGGUGCUGGUAAGCCCUCUCUUUGCGUUUUGCUAUCUGAUCCCCAUAUCAGGUUGAAGUCAUGUCAAAAUAAUACAGGAAAAUAUAGAAACAAAAACACACUGCUCAGUGAUAAAGGAAACAUCAAGAUCCAUUCUGCUAUUCUGCAUUUUGUCAUAGCUCAGCGCUCAGUUCUGUACUUCUUCAAGCCAGUUGAAGUCAAUGAAUUCCUACUGGCUUGCUUAACCAGGCUAGACCCAGGGUCAGAGAAUUUCAGGCCCCCUUCAGUCUAUUGAACCGGGUGACCUAUUUCAGUGCUUCAGAGCAAGUUCAGACCUCUUGGUGCCGGUAGGAAAGGAGAUAGCUUAGAAACAUUUCCUCCUGUUCUGUAAAUAAGUUGUUGCCUCAGCAGCUGUUGGAAGCAGCACAACUUCAACUCUAUUUUAUUUCAGUAUGCUUAAUACAUGUCGUUGUUGGUUAUUCAGAGUACAUAUAGUGCUAUGGGAGCUAUGCAGACUGUGAGGAGAAUCUAUGAAUAUCAGUCCCUUGGUAUAUGACAAAUUCAGUGUUGAGGCAUUUGCUCAGAUAUAUUACCUGAGUAAUUGCUCCAAUGAAGAUAUGAAUUAGUUUGGCUUCAUACAUUUUCUUUUCUCUUAUUAAUGUUCUAGAAAAUGAAAUUCCUGAUAUAUGUUUGCAUUGGCACAACUUUUAAAUUAAUUCAUCCAAAAAAAUACAUCCCUGGAAUAAACACCUACAUUCAGUGAUCAACCCAAACAGAUCAGAAUUCCCCUCGGAUCAUCAUGUCCCAUCAGCUCCCCCACAAAGUUCAAGCAGAAAGCUAACAAAACACCUAGAGACAAAGAAUCACACUAGAGGCAUAGUCAUAAAAAAUAUUAACCCCUCUGAGAUUUUCCUCAAGAGGACUACUUGUUCACUGUGCAAAAAAUAGAGGAAGAUUUGCCAGAUAAACUAGUCCUUUUAAAAUGAGCACUCAGCAUAAAAGACGUAGUCAUGGUGUGAAUUACCAGCAUUCAGUCAUCGUCCCUGGAGGUGCUCAAGAAGAGGGUAGGACGUUGCAUUGAGUGACAUGGUUUAGUGGUAUGGUGGUGAUGGGUUGAGGGUUGGACUAGAGGAUCUUAGUGGCCUUUCCAACCCUAAUGACUAUGUAUUUCCAUAGUAUUCAUAAAGAAAUGUGUAGGCUUACGUAGAGGGCAAGUGUUGCCUAAAUAAGAGACCAGCUGCAUAACUACACUGAACUAGAUACUGAAAUCUUUGCUGACUUGUACAGAUUUCACAUAUACUUUCCAGAAAACGUUACAAUUAUUUUCAAGUACAUUUUGCAUUUAUUUUAAUGACAUAUCCAAUUAGAAUAAAAAAGUAAGUGAAUGCCCCAUUUCACUAGCCCAUGGAACACCUAUGAGAUGGAUGAAUAUUUCCACCCAAAGGGCACCUAUGAGUUGAAGUGAACGAUUCCUUACUGCAAGGUCUCGUUUUCCUUUCCCCAGCUUAUUUGUAGGCUGAUCCAAGGGGCUCAGAAUCACUUGGCUAAAGCCUCCCCCGUAGAUCUCAGAAGAUAAAGGGCUGCAGCAACCCCGGCUGGCAAUCUAUAAGCAAGAUACUCUAUUCUCAUUCCAAGUCUCACAAGAUAGUUAAUUAAGCUUCCUCCACUUUCCUGAGAAUUAGACUAGUUCAGAAAAGGCCUUUUUGCUUAUAGUAAUCACACACACAAAUAAUCUUGGUUUCCCCACACUGUUCCUCUCUUCUCCACACACACUAACAAAAAAAAAAAAAAAAAGAGAGGAAGAAAAAAAAGAAAAAUUGUAGGAAAUA